rnacentral:sRNA from 2 species
GCGCUCGGGGUGACUGUUCGACGUACCUAACCAGUGGUUGACCCACAGGUAUGGCAAGAAAUACCACACGGCAAGGUUCGCCCAGCCGAAGUUCUUGCCUACCCAGAACAAGGCGGAGCCGGUGAGCAUCAAGCCAAGGUCACUGAGGAGGAUGAGCGGGGCGUGCUUGGCCUCGUACAGCGGGCUGGACGGGUUGAAAUGGUUGACACCGCCGAAUAUACCGUUCUCCUUGCCCUUCCCACGGCCCUCCGGCUGGCGCUGGUGGCAGUUGUGGCCGGUGACGUUGGAGAUCAGGUACAUGGGCCAGCCGAACAACUGCUGCAGGAUCAUAUGGACUGCGGUCUGGAUGGGCGUCUCCUCCAUCAACUCGUGCAGCUCGUGCGCGAUAUAGCCGAAGCGCGAGGCGAAGACCUCUCGUGUCUUGGGGACGAAAACCAUGUCCCGCUCCAAGUUGCCGGUGGCCUUGUGGUGUUUGCUGUGCGAGAUUUUCCAGGAGAAGUACGGCACCAGCAGCGCGGAGUGGCAGAACCAGCCCACCGUGUCGUUCAACAGUCUGUACGGAGAGAAGGCCUGGUGUCCGCACUCAUGGGCCAUGAUCCAUAGACCGGUCCCAAAGAGCCCCUGGAGGAAGGCAUAGAGACCCCAUAGGCCAGCACGGACCGGGGUGGACGGUAUGUAUUCGGGCGUGACAUAGUUGUGGAAGAGGUAGAAGGUGCCGGCCAGGCAAGAGAUAUCUCGAGCGACGUAUGACAGACUGCGAAGGGCACUUCUCUCGAAGCAAUGGGCCGGGAUGGCGUCUCUGAUCUGCUUGAUGGUGAAGUCUGGGAUCUCGAAGGGAGUCCCGUAAGUGUCGACUAAUUUUAGGGGUUCUUGCUGCGCAUCCGAAGCUAUUGACGACAGGGACGUGGACGAAGGGGACGGCCGCAAGCUGUCGGUUGGGGAGACACAUGCGGAGCUCUCUGUGGAGUAAUCUGUGGGCGAAUUCCGGUUCAGCGCCCUGCGCUUGGGGAGGGCGGUGGAGGUCAUCGUGGCCGAAUUCCUCUAUUGCUGGCUUGGCUUGGCGAGGAACGAGAUAUGGGAUAAUGAUAAGAUGUAAUAUAUAUAUAUAUAUAUAUAUAUUAUGUUAUCUCAGGGAAGAGAAAAGGUUAAGGAUGAGGCAGCUCUUUGUUGGGCGGCGUGCAACAGAACAGCAGAACACUUCCUGAUGCUGUGUGAUCUGAAUCUUCCUGCACCACUCAAGUCAGGAUGGGAAUUGUGACAGCGUUUUCUGGCAGGCAAUUGGACAGACGUAGGGGGCAAGACAAUCAAUCAAUCAAUGGGAUGGAUUGACUGACUGAGUGAAUGACCAGGACUCACCACUUGAAAUCGAGGCUGGCUCGGUUGGCUGACUCUCGAGGGAAUUCUUGUGCAACCACAAGAGGACGGAGGGUGAAUUGGAUGAAUGAAUGAUUUGAAGGAGGGAAAAAAAGAAAGGAAAAAGAGGGAAGAAGAACAGGAAUAAAUGCGAGGGAAGAAGAGACAAGGCGACUAAUUCGAUGAUGCCUUUUUUUUAAUUUUUUUAAUUUUAUUUAUUUUUUUCCCUCUAUUUUAUAUCUUUGCUUUCUGCGUUGCUCGUUGAAUUCCUUUUUUUUUUCUCAUUGUCAAUCUCACAUGGGUUUUCUGCUUUGCCGGGUGCGUUUCGCUGGGACGCCGGAGAACGGGUAACGGAACCGUAUCGUCACGGUAUGUCAUGUAAUAUUACACAUUCCAUCUCACCUUCCGCCUUCCACCUUCCUGCUUCUCCGUUCUCCGUUUCUUCAGCUGUAACUAUCAAAUGUCAAAUGCCCCUUCGACUCCUCCAAUAUGUUAUCACCAAGCUGGGCCCGGCGAGGUUGUAGACGGGUCAGCAGUGAUUCCUCGACACAGUCCAUCGAAGGAUGAUGCAUGUGGGACCAAGGUCUACGGAGUCUUGUUAGUAUGCAUGGAUGCAGCCCGCCACGUCCCUGCUGGCUCUAUAUCGGACCCGGGACGAAAAACGGACAUCACAUCGGUUUGCAGACUCGUCCAUUCCAUCUCCAGAGGUGCGAGCAAAAGAAAACCGGUUUGGCUCUCGAGUGAGUGAGUUCUGAGAUCUGAGAUUUGCUUUCCGAGCUUGCUGCAUGCAGUUCCCCCUUCACCGAUCGACAUCUGGACAUAUUUAAGUAUUAUUGUUGGUCGGCCUCGUCCGUGUGCAGCUGUGGGGUUCUUCCCUCGCGGCCCGAAUUUCAAUUUUCAUCUAUUUGACUCGAACUUGAGCCCUUGAGCUGGCCCAACGAGAGUGGGUUGAUAUUCAGAGCGUAUCCCAAUCAUCAUCAUCAUCAUUAUUCUUAUUAUGGUGGCAAAAUAACGAGGCUACUUUAUUUCUCUCUCUCUUUCAAUCUGGUGAUGGGAUAUGGAGAAAUCGCAAUUCAGCGAACCUGGUGCGGUAUCUCCCAGGUAUUUACUCGGACUCUGUCUGUACAGUGCAGCAUACCACACCGUGUGGCCUGAUCAUGGAUGGGGACGGGAGGUCUGUACUGAAA